ACCGGUCGUAGACUAGUCCGCAAUGCCCUUUCCUCUUGAAUCGACCUCUUCGCACGUCGAAUCUAGUCAAAACCACAACGAAUACGUUACAAUAGGCUAAGGGAAUAUAACCCAAUCGAAAAGACUCGAAAAAUGUCGAAAAUCCCGAAAUUAGCAAAACCCGAGCCCCGGGCCCACAUCUCAAAAUUCAGAAAUUUUUACAUCAAUACGACCCUUAUCUCGCCGCGAGUCUAUACAUACCAAAUUCACAAAAAUCGGAGUUCAUUUGACCCCUCAAAUCACCAUUUAAUUCUCUUAAGUUUCAAGCCCUAAACCACUAUUUUUGUCCAUAAAUUACUUGAGUUUUCAGCUCUAAUCCAUGUAUUUAACUUGGAAAUAAGUAGAAACAACUCACCUUUGAUGCUUGAUGAAAUCCCCCUUGAAAUUCUCCCCAAAAUAAUCCAAGCCAAAUGAAAGAAAUAAGCCAAAUCCGUGUUUAAAAUAAUCUGCCCGUGCUUCGUCGAGUUGCACCUUGCACUUGUGCUAUACAAGUUGUACAUCCUAUUAAAAUUGUUUCUUGUCGGACACUUUCU
rnacentral:lncRNA from 1 species